CCUUUUAGCCAGCAUUAGAGUUUUAAACUCUAAACUGAGCUUUUUCCAUGCAAUCAGCAUUAGAGUUUUAAGCCCUAAACUGAAUUUUCCUUUUAGUCAGCAUUAGGGUUUUAAACCCUAAACUGAAUUUUCCUUUCAGCCAGCAUUAGAGUUUUAAACUCUAAACUGAGCUCUUCCAUGCCAUCAGCAUUAGGGUUUUAAACCCUAAACUGAAUUUUUCUUUCAGCCAGCAUUAGAGUUUUAAACUCUAAACUGAGCUUUUCCAUGCAAUCAGCAUUAGGGUUUUAAACCCUAAACUGAAUUUUCCUUUCAGCCAGCAUUAGAGUUUUAAACUCUAAACUGAGCUUUUUCCAUGCAAUCAGCAUUAGGGCUUUAAACCAUAAACUGAAUUUUCCUUUCAGCCAGCAUUAGAGUUUUAAACUCUAAACUGAGCUCUUCCAUGCCAUCAGAAUUAGGGUUUUAAACCCUAAACUGAAUUUUCUUUCAGCCAGCAUUAGAGUUUUAAACUCUAAACUGAGCUUUUCCAUGCAAUCAGCAUUAGGGUUUUAAACUACUGAAUUUUCCUUUAGGUCAGCAUUGGGGUUUUAAACCCUAAACUGAAUUUUCCUUUUAGUCAGCAUUGGGGUUUUAAACCCUAAACUGAAUUUUCCUUUUAGUCAGCAUUAGGGUUUUAAACCCUAAACUGAACUUUUUCCUUUCAGCCAGCAUUAGAGUUUUAAACUCUAAACUGAGCUUUUCCAUGCAAUCAGCAUUAGGGUUUUAAACCCUAAACUGAAUU
rnacentral:lncRNA from 1 species